rnacentral:lncRNA from 1 species
AUGGUUGUGGUGGAGACUGGUGCUCCAGAGACAUGGCAUUUGUAUGUAAGGUUUGAUGAGUAGCUACAGUGUAUCACACUCCUACACAGAAGGAUAAAAGGUAUACUAUAGAAGGAAAUAGCAUGCUACCAUGAAAGUUGGAAACAUGUGAAAUAAGCAGGAAAUGUCACUGAUUCUCAUAGCCUAGUGUACUGCCUAGUACUCACAGCCAGUGACUGCCUCUGACCAAAGCAGAAGAACUUUGUCCUCUGCUGUUUCUGACUUGUGCCAAUAUGAAGAACUCCUUGAAGCCUAUCAUCUCAUCAGCGCCAACUAUUGUCCAUGAGAAGAUUUGGGAUGAUGUAAGAUGCUAAGAUAUCUGCAGAACUUUAGAGGGUGGACAAUGCAGUGGUUGGCAUCAUGGUGGAAACUGGUCAACAUGAACUUGUUUCAAAUCCAACAAACACCCCACUUUUCGGACACAGUGGCAGGAAAUAUUCUAUGCUCUGCGACAGAUGAACUGGUUGAUACCCAAUGCAUAGAAGCCCGUGUUUAUCUAUGAAGUUCCCACCAGAAUGGAGAAUUGGCAAAGAGACAAUUAGCACCAGGGUGAUAGUGAUGAUGGCUAUAAACAAGUAAAAGAAUAAUAACUGGUCUUUAAAUU